UGGGGAAUAUUGCACAAUGGGGGAAAUCCUGAUGCAGCGACGCCGCGUGAAGGAAGAAGUAUCUCGGUAUGUAAACUUCUAUCAGCAGGGAAGAUAGUGACGGUACCUG
rnacentral:rRNA from 1 species